GACUAUGAAAGUGUAGCACAAAAAGUUGCAGCGGAAUCAAGUUUGUUCUGCCACUACACUGCAAUUACCUUUCCCGAGUAGAGCUUAUGUUGCAGAAAAGAGAAAACAGAAAUGAGUUUCAGUGGUUGGAUGAAGUCCAGCUUUUAAAGUUCUGGGCCACCGCUUCAUUUGCUGUCUAAUAUCUGUCCUAAAGGAUGCAUCUUGUUGAUUUGAUGAAAAUGGUUUUGAAGAGACUGAGUAUUCACUCUCUUUCAAAGUACCUCAUAGUUUUCCAUGCUUCAUAAGCCAUUAAAGGCAUUGAACCGAUGACCACUCCAACCAUGGAGAAAUCAGAAAUAAAACUUUACAUAUGUUGGUUGUUCACUUUAUAUAUGUUGUGUUUUAUAUUCAUAUCAUCUUUCUUACUAUAUAUUCUUUUCAAAUUGGGUUUUUUCCCAACAAAACUAGACAUAAGAGUACAAUAAGACUAGACCUAAGUGAAGAGUAUGAUUAGUGUCAGAAUCUUUGCUGAUGACAGUUGGCAGUAGGCACUAACUGUUGCUAACAGACAUGGUAACUACCUAAGGGUCAAAAGACUUGUAUAGCAAGCCAUCCACCUUCUAUAUAUAUGUAUAUCAUGAUACGUGAUCUAUCUCUUGUUUCGGUAGAAUAACACAACCACCACAGCAGCAAAGCCUUAUUCUACUAGGUGGGUCAGUUAUAUGGAUCAAAUAACGACAUUCCACCACACUGUUGUACCUCAUUUCUAUAUACUCAACCACCACCCUGUUGUACCUCAUUUGUAUAUACUCAACCAGCAGACUAUCUCCUAACUAUGCAUCUGAAGAACAUUGUUAUUUUACAAAAUUCAGCUUCUUUUACAAGAUAUCAUGCAUCCUCUGCUAGAAUGUGAGAACUUAAAGUUGACCAUAAAGCUUAAGUUAGAAUCUU